UAGGGAAUCUUCGGCAAUGGGGGCAACCCUGACCGAGCAACGCCGCGUGAGUGAAGAAGGUUUUCGGAUCGUAAAGCUCUGUUGUAAGUCAAGAACGAGUGUGAGAGUGGAAAGUUCACACUGUGACGGUAGCUUACCAGAAAGGGACGGCUAACUACGUGCCAGCAGCCGCGGUAAUACGUAGGUCCCGAGCGUUGUCCGGAUUUAUUGGGCGUAAAGCGAGCGCAGGCGGUUUGAUAAGUCUGAAGUUAAAGGCUGUGGCUCAACCAUAGUUCGCUUUGGAAACUGUCAAACUUGAGUGCAGAAGGGGAGAGUGGAAUUCCAUGUGUAGCGGUGAAAUGCGUAGAUAUAUGGAGGAACACCGGUGGCGAAAGCGGCUCUCUGGUCUGUAACUGACGCUGAGGCUCGAAAGCGUGGGGAGCGAACAGGAUUAGAUACCCUGGUAGUCCACGCCGUAAACGAUGAGUGCUAGGUGUUGGAUCCUUUCCGGGAUUCAGUGUCGCAGCUAACGCAUUAAGCACUCCGCCUGGGGAGUACGACCGCAAGNAUUG
rnacentral:rRNA from 1 species